AUUGAACGCUGGCGGCAGGCUUAACACAUGCAAGUCGAGCGGAGAUGAGGUGCUUGCACCUUAUCUUAGCGGCGGACGGGUGAGUAAUGCUUAGGAAUCUGCCUAUUAGUGGGGGACAACAUUCCGAAAGGAAUGCUAAUACCGCAUACGUCCUACGGGAGAAAGCAGGGUAUCUUCGGACCUUGCGCUAAUAGAUGAGCCUAAGUGGGAUUAGCUGUGUGGUGGGGUAAAGGCCUACCAAGGCGACGAUCUGUAGCGGGUCUGAGAGGAUGAUCCGCCACACUGGGACUGAGACACGGCCCAGACUCCUACGGGAGGCAGCAGUGGGGAAUAUUGGACAAUGGGGGGAACCCUGAUCCAGCCAUGCCGCGUGUGUGAAGAAGGCCUUAUGGUUGUAAAGCACUUUAAGCGAGGAGGAGGCUACUGAGACUAAUACUCUUGGAUAGUGGACGUUACUCGCAGAAUAAGCACCGGCUAACUCUGUGCCAGCCGCCGCUGUAAGAC
rnacentral:rRNA from 1 species